rnacentral:rRNA from 1 species
AUGACUCUCAGCAAUGGAUAUCUCGGCUCUCGCAUCGAUGAAGAACGUAGCGAAAUGCGAUACCUGGUGUGAAUUGCAGAAUCCCGCGAACCAUCAAGUCUUUGAACGCAAGCUGCGCCCGAGGCCACCCGGUCGAGGGCAUGCCUGCCUGGGCGUCAUGC